UUACGGUCAUAUCAUGUUGAAACGCCAAUUCCCUUACGAUGACCGAAGUUAAGCAACGUCGAGCCUGGUCAGUAUCUAGAUGCGUGACCGUUCGAGAAUACCAGGU